rnacentral:misc_RNA from 1 species
AUAGGUGUCAUCAAACGGGAGGAUGAUUUGAAAGUUAUAAAAUAUCUUUUCACUUGGAGAGCUGUGUACCAAUCAUAUCAGCACCAUGUUUGGUGUUUCGAGGAGUUUUUGCAUUUAUUGUCUCUGUUAUAUAUAUACAAGAUGUUUUACACUAUUUUAUUUUUGUAUCUUUUUUACUUCUAAUCUUGUUGUCUCUCCUUUUCAUCUCCCUCUUUUUCGCCAGAGAUCCUCCUAUCAUCAUCGGCAAGAUUGUGACCUAAGAUACUACAGAGGAUUCGUUUGAUUUGGCAACUCCUCCUCGGGAGGUAUUAAUGACCAGAGAUGGUGCUUUUCUGCCACCUACUGGGCACCCCGAGGUUGCGAUACUAGCUGGUGAAGAAGGUGAGAUGGCCGUGGGAGUCGUUCCUUCAGGACCUUCUGGAUCUGGAAAGAAAACUCCUCAAUAUAGUAGGAAAUAAGCAUGAAGAAUGAAGGAUUAGGGACCAUAUGAGUUUUGUGGAUUCUGGAUUUUUGGGCUUUUAAGGUUAGGUCUUAAUUUUUUAAUUUUGAUUUUAAUGAAAGAUAAUAAAUAUUUUUAAUAUUUAAUUAUAAAGUUAAUAUUUUAUUAAUAAAAUUUUUUAAAAU